GAUGAACGCUCGCGAUAGGCUUAACACAUGCAAGUCGAGGGGCAGCAUGGUCUUAGCUUGCUAAGACUGAUGGCGACCGGCGCACGGGUGCGUAACGCGUAUGCAACUUGCCUCACAGAGGGGGAUAACCCGUCGAAAGACGGACUAAUACCGCGUACACUCUAUUUUGGGCAUCCAAGGUAGAGGAAAUGAACUUCGCUGUGAGAUAGGCAUGCGUCCCAUUAGCUAGUUGGUGAGGUAACGGCUCACCAAGGCGACGAUGGGUAGGGGAACUGAGAGGUUGAACCCCCACACUGGUACUGAGACACGGACCAGACCCCUACGGGAGGCAGCAGUGAGGAAUAUUGGGCAAUGGGCGAGAGCCUGAACCAGCCAAGUCGCGUGAAGGAUGACUGUCUUAUGGAUUGUAAACUUCUUUUGUAGGGGAAUAAAGAGGGGCACGUGUGCCCCAGUGAAUGUACCCUACGAAUAAGCAUCGGCUAACUCCGUG
rnacentral:rRNA from 1 species